AUGUUGGAGAGCAGCAGCACCUGGAUGAGGAGUGCAGCUGUGACAGCAGCCAGGGCUGCAGCGGUGGCCGUCAGGGACAGCAGCUGCUCACAAGCUCAGCUGUUCCUGACCCUGAAAUAUCCCUCAGAACUGGUGAUUUCUGUGAGAAGAAAAAGCACCCAAGCAGCUCUGUGGAUACAGCUGUGACAUGGGACCCCAGGAGAACAAACAGAGCCCUGUGAGCACUGAGCUGAUAACAGAACAGCUGCAGUGGGAACUGCAGCUCCUGGGGGAGAAUUGCGUUGGGAAGGUCUUACUGCCAUGGUUAUCAAGGAAUUUCAGAUCCUUACUGCAGUGCUUGGACCUGGCUGGCUUCUCCACGGAGCACGUGGGACACACGAGGCCUCUCUGAAACAACACCCCAUCAUAGGCAUAAACCCCCACCAGGGAUGCAGCAUUGGAUUUUGUCACUGUACCUGCAAAAAGAGACAAUAAAAAGAAUUAAAAAAUGG